AAAUUUUUGUCUUCAGAGUCCUCCCAGGAGUACUACCGCCCAUGAAAUCACAGAUGUAUUGCUUGAAGAAUAAUUCCUGUGCAGCCACUAGCUGAGAUGGGCAGACUGUGCAGGCUGGGAAGCCAGUAAUCUCCAUGUAGAAUGGUAACUCAGCUCUUAUCAGGAAAACAGGACUAAACUCCAGGAAUAGAAGCUCAAAAUUUGCUCUCAUCAUUUCUUGAACUCACUUUUCUUUGAACAAGACUGAUUAUAACCUUCCUUAGUGCUACAAUAAACACCCUAGAAAAACAAAAGAGAAAAGAGUUCUGAAGAGUAAACUUUACAGAUAAAUGUAAAAGUUGUACAAUUUGUCUGUUUUGUUUGUUUGAUUGUUUCUCUUGUAUCCACGAUAAAGAAACUUUUAAACUUUUUUAUUGGUAAUAGUGACCAUUUGCAGGCAGCCUGCAAAUGUCUAUAAUUAUUAGAUAUGCCCAAACUUGUUUACUUUUGGAUCUUGAACAUGCUUGCUGAUUAUUUGGGUGCAUUUUGUACUAAAAUUUUCAUAAUGUCUAUAACUUGUAUUUUUUUCUUAUCUAGUAUUCCACAUUUUAUAUUCUAGUUCCCCUGUAGCCUUUCUCAGAGCAACGCAUUGUGUCAUAGCAAGAGGAUUUUGGUUAUAAUUUUGCUGAGUCUUAAAGAUUGUCACUUUUAUAGAGUUCAUAUUCCAAUGCUCACUAGUUCUCGUCAAUUAAAAAUCUAUGUUUUGAAGAGUAUGGGUAUACGUCUGUG